GAUGAACGCUGGCGGCGUGCCUAAUACAUGCAAGUCGAGCGAACAGACGAGGAGCUUGCUCCUCUGACGUUAGCGGCGGACGGGUGAGUAACACGUGGAUAACCUACCUAUAAGACUGGGAUAACUUCGGGAAACCGGAGCUAAUACCGGAUAAUAUAUUGAACCGCAUGGUUCAAUAGUGAAAGACGGUUUUGCUGCCACUUAUAGAUGGAUCCGCGCCGCAUUAGCUAGUUGGUAAGGUAACGGCUUACCAAGGCAACGAUGCGUAGCCGACCUGAGAGGGUGAUCGGCCACCCUGGAACUGAGACACGGUCCAGACUCCUACGGGAGGCAGCAGUAGGGAAUCUUCCGCAAUGGGCGAAAGCCUGACGGAGCAACGCCGCGUGAGUGAUGAAGGUCUUCGGAUCGUAAAACUCUGUUAUUAGGGAAGAACAAAUGUGUAAGUAACUAUGCACGUCUUGACGGUACCUAAUCAGAAAGCCACGGCUAACUACGUG
rnacentral:rRNA from 1 species